GACGAACGCUGGCGGCAGGCCUAACACAUGCAAGUCGAACGGUAACAGGAAGAAGCUUGCUUCUUUGCUGACGAGUGGCGGACGGGUGAGUAAUGUCUGGGAAACUGCCUGAUGGAAGGGGAUAACAUUUGGAAACAAGUGCUAAUACCGUAUAACCAUGAUGACCGCAUGGUCAUGAUGUAAAAGGUGGUUUUGCUAUCGCUUUUGGAUGGACCCGCGGCGUAUUAACUAGUUGGUAAGGUAACGGCUUACCAAGGUGAUGAUACGUAGCCGAACUGAGAGGUUGAUCGGCCACAAUGGGACUGAGACACGGCCCAUACUCCUACGGGAGGCAGCAGUAGGGAAUCUUCCACAAUGGGCGCAAGCCUGAUGGAGCAACGCCGCGUGAAUGAAGAAGGUCUUCGGAUCGUAAAGUUCUGUUAUUAGAGAAGAACACGUGUAAGAGUAACUGAUUAUGCGUUGACGGUAUCUAAUCAGCAAGUCACGGCUAACUACGUGCCAGCAGCCGCGGUAAAAC
rnacentral:rRNA from 1 species